GUCGAGGAUCAUUCGCAAUGCGCGAAAGCGUGACGAUGCGACGCUGCGUGGAGGAUGAAGGCUUUCGGGUUGUAAACUCCUGUCAUGAGAGAACAAGGCUUCCUGUCAUAAUACGGCGGGGAGCAUGAUGGUAUCUCAAGAGGAAGUCACGGCUAACUCUGUGCCAGCAGCCGCGGUAAUACAGAGGUGGCUAACGUUGUUCGGAUUUACUGGGCGUAAAGGGUGCGUAGGUGGACGGGUAUGUUGGAUGUGAAAGCCCACGGCUUAACCGUGGAAUUGCAUUCAAAACUGCAAGUCUGGAGUGCAGAAGGGGAGAGCGGAAUUCUUGGUGUAGCGGUGAAAUGCGUUGAUAUCAAGAAGAACACCGGUGGCGAAGGCGGCUCUCUGGUCUGUAACUGACACUGAGGCACGAGAGCUAGGGGAGCAAACAGGAUUAGAAACCCCAGUAGUCC
rnacentral:rRNA from 1 species